ensembl:snoRNA SNORD83A small nucleolar RNA, C/D box 83A
CUUGUUCUGUGAUGAGGUCAUGGAAUACACGCUGGGCACAGCGUCUGAUACCUGUGAGGAUUCAUUCCAUGCUGCCUUCCUUCUGAGAACAGU